rnacentral:lncRNA from 1 species
AUGUAACAUUGUCUCCCUUGUUAUCAGGUAUGUGAAACACUGAAUUAAAGUAAUGAACUGCUGCUGUUUGUCUCUUCCUAUCAGGCCAUUUCUCACUGACAAAGUUUCACCUCGCUCCAGACAAACAUCGCACUAAAUGGCAUUACUCUUUUCUUGAGUUGCUCAUGAAUUCAAGUCCACAAGGAAUGGCUCCGCAACAGCAAGAUUAACCAUACCAUCAUCAGACUCGACUGUAAUCAUCAUCUUCUUUCGAUUGUCAACCAUCUACUACCAGUUUCUUUCAGAUCCAGUAUUGGAAGUUUCUACACUUAGCCAACCAUCAACAUCCAGUUUCACAGCUUCCCUUCUUUGCCAGCUGUGAACCAGAAUCAGUUAACUUCAGCAUCAUAGCAUGAAAUGAUCAUUUUCAAAUGCCAUCUCAACUGUUUGCAGCCUUUACCACUCUUCUUAGCCUGACAACAUGCAUACUGUUAUGCCAGCCUUUUAAAAUACUCUUCAUGCCAUCACCUCAUUAUGAAUUUGCAAGUUUUCAUUUGCGUUUAUGUUAAAAAAAACGCUGUCAAGUAGUUAUCAUGCCGUCGUAUGGGAUUAAAAACCAAAUGCCCACAGCCGAGUGAAAGAGGGCAUCUCGUUAUCUUUGCGGCUCCAAAACAGCUGACGGCGAUGGCUUUCGCUGCAACGUGGAACUUCUCGUCUGUUUUGGUAUUGUUUGUGUGUGUGUGUUGUGUGUGUUGUGUGUGAGAGUUAACCCGUUGGCUGCCACCCAUUUUGCUCCCAUUUUUUUUUUUAGCUGUAGGGACCGCGCGCACUGCUCUGCCCCAUGGCCAUGGGGUAGGGCAGUGCUCCGCCGAAAGGCGGUUAGGCAAUGCACCAGUAGGGACUUCUCUUUGUUCGAUGCGGUGAUGGUUACCCGAGGGUGUGCAUUCCCUGUAAAGGUUUCCAUCGCCGUGUCAGCCCGGACUUGUCUUCGGACAAGUCCCAUCAGAUCGUGGAUCCUUCAGACGACGAUGCGUAGAUUGUAGACAACAACCUACGGGUUGAAUGGCUUGGCAGCCAACGGGUUAACUCAGUGUAUGUAUUUGUAUUGUAAUGUAUUGUAAUUUAUUGUAUAAUUAUGUAAAUGAAAACAGUGGUGGAAUUGUGGGAUGGAGGUGGGACAAUAAAUGAAAUUCCAUUUAUGUAUGUUUCUCAUUUGUACUUAACUUCACAAUACAAAUUAUUUGAAAUAAAAUUACAUUUACUUCGAAA